UCAUUAUUGUGGAGUCACUACAAUGUUGUUGAUCCAUCCUCAGUCUGUCAUUUAGGUCAUUAUUGUGGAGUCACUACAAUGUUGUUGAUCCAUCCUCAGUCUGUCAUUUAGGUCAUUAUUGUGGAGUCACUACAAUGUUGUUGAUCCAUCCUCAGUCUGUCAUUUAGGUCAUUAUUGUGGAGUCACUACAAUGUUGUUGAUCCAUCCUCAGUCUGUCAUUUAGGUCAUUAUUGUGGAGUCACUACAAUGUUGUUGAUCCAUCCUCAGUCUGUCAUUUAGGUCAUUAUUGUGGAGUCACUACAAUGUUGUUGAUCCAUCCUCAGUCUGUCAUUUAGGUCAUUAUUGUAGAGUCACUACAAUGUUGUUGAUCCAUCCUCAGUCUGUCAUUUAGGUCAUUAUUGUGGAGUCACUACAAUGUUGUUGAUCCAUCCUCAG